GACGGAGGAUGCAAGUGUUAUCCGGAAUCACUGGGCGUAAAGCGUCUGUAGGUUGUUUAAAAAGUCUGCAGUUAAAGGUUGAAGCUUAACUUCAAAAAUGCCGUAGAAACUUUUAAACUAGAGGAUGGUAGGGGUAGAGGGAAUUUCCAGUGGAGCGGUGAAAUGCGUAGAUAUUGGAAAGACCACCGAUGGCGAAGGCGGCUCACUGGCCCGGUACUGACGCUCAGGUGCGAAAGCGUGGGGAGCAAACAGG
rnacentral:rRNA from 1 species